rnacentral:rRNA from 1 species
CCUACGGGUGGCAGCAGUAGGGAAUCUUCGGCAAUGGACGAAAGUCUGACCGAGCAACGCCGCGUGAGUGAAUAAGGUUUUCGGAUCUUUAAACUCUUUUGAUCUAGAAGCACAAGGACGCUAGUGACUCAACGUCCACUGACGGUAUCUACCCAGAACGCGCAGGCUAACUACGUGCCAGCUGCCGCUGUACUUCGUAGGUGGCAAGCGUUGUCCGGUUUUAUUGGUAGGACAGCGAGCGCAGGCGGUUUCUUAAGUCUGAUGUGAAAGCCCCCGGCUCAACCGGGGAGGGGCAUUGGAUACGGGGAGACGUGAGUACAGAAGAGGAAAGGGGAAUGCCAGGUGUAGCGGUGAAAUGCGUAGAUAUAGGGAGGAACACCAGUGGCGAAGGCGGCUCUCUGG